AGCGAGUGGCGAACUGGUGAGUAACACGUGGGUAACCUGCCCCGAAGCGGGGGAUAACAUUUGGAAACAAGUGCUAAUACCGCAUAAUUAGUUGGAACCGCAUGGUUCCAACUUGAAAGAUGGCUCUGCUAUCACUUUGGGAUGGACCCGCGCCGUAUUAGUUAGUUGGUGAGAUAAAAGCCCACCAAGACGAUGAUACGUAGCCGACCUGAGAGGGUAAUCGGCCACAUUGGGACUGAGACACGGCCCAGACUCCUACGGGAGGCAGCAGUAGGGAAUCUUCCACAAUGGACGAAAGUCUGAUGGAGCAACGCCGCGUGAGUGAUGAAGGUUUUCGGAUCGUAAAACUCUGUUGUUAAAGAAGAACAAGUGUUAGAGUAACUGUUAACACUUUGACGGUAUUUAACCAGAAAGCCACGGCUAACUACGUGCCAGCAGCCGCGGUAAUACGUAGGUGGCAAGCGUUGUCCGGAUUUAUUGGGCGUAAAGCGAGCGCAGGCGGUUUUGUAAGUCUGCUGUGAAAGCCCUCAGCUCAACUGAGGAAGUGCAGUGGAAACUACAAAACUUGAGUACAGA
rnacentral:rRNA from 1 species